CUCUUCCAGAACAGUUCCCUGAGAGUGACUUGGCUCAGAGUCUGCAACAAAUGUUCUGAGCAGCCUGCUAUUCCAAAAGAACCUCCAUUCUCCUACUGCCUGUCCUCUACCUCCAUCCAACUCCUGAAGCAUACGGCUUCUUCAUGCAGCUGUUAUGUGUUCCUCAAAGAACUGGUGAACAGUUUGUUGGAGCUAAGGUGGCCAGAAAAAUGCCUCUUAACUGUGAAUGCUGGGGUUAUUACCGCUUCUGAGCAGGGAGUUCCAGAUGGACUCAGAACACCAGCUUGGGCAUGGCACCACUCACAAUUGGCUGGGUCAUUUUCCACUGAUCACUGAGAAAAUGCUGGAUCUCAUGGAAACAUUUCUUCAACUGAGACUCCUUUCUCUCUGAUGACCUUGUGUCACGAUAUUAAAGAGUUAUUGGCAUAUGGGAUGUAAUUGCAUAUGCCUAGAUAAAGUACAGACAUAGGACAUGGAACUAUGUUUACACCUCAGAUUGACAAAGUGUCCAAGAGAAGCAAUAAACUCCCAGAAACAUC